rnacentral:tRNA from 1 species
GUAGCUCAAUUGGUAGAGCACUUGCCUAGCAUACAUGAGGUCUUGGGUUCAAUUCCCAGC